rnacentral:lncRNA from 1 species
CUUUAACGCAAAACUCCCAUCUCCCGCAAGCCAUUUCAAAUUCUUUCUCGUCAAAAACUUCGUUCCCGUUCGAAAAUUUCCUUGCCAUUCAAAACCAUGUCGUAAUUGUGUUGUGCUUGUCGUCUCUAACCUCAUUGCAGUUCCACACAGAAGUUUAGAAAAAUCAGGCAAGUUUAUUUGAGGUUGUCCAGUCGGUUUCACAUAAAGGACAUGGUGCUUGAUUGAUUGAAGUUGGGUUCAGAGUCAUUGCUUCCUCAGUACUCCUCAUACUUCAUAUCCCAAAGUAAAUUUAAAAUUUGGUGAGUUUGGAAAUUUGGAACCUUAGAUAUAAAUUUUGUUGUUUCUGUAAAUUUGAUUAAUUAAUUUAGUGUUUAAGGUUAAUUAUGCAUGUUCAUUGAUGAAAUUAGUUGAAAUUGGUGGAUAUUUGUGGAAUUUUUAGGUCGGAUGCGGGCUUAUGAAAUGUUGUUGGCUGGUUGUGUACAAGGGCUAGGUCGUUCACUUUUGUUUUGUUGAACUUAUAUUGUUGAGUUGAGAAUGAUGUGUGUUCAUGAAAUCUUUGUUAAUUUUCUGAAUUAACUUGAUAUUGCUUAAGUCCUGAUGCUUUGUUUAUGGUAGAUGUAUUGUUAUGCAAACUUGUUGACAGGUUGUGUUAAGAGUAUACAUUGUUGAACUUGGCUGUGUUUAGAGUAUAUAUUGUAGAAUUUGGUUAUGUUGAACACUUGUAUUGUCGUGUAUAGGAGAUGGCAACUUAGGGGGGUUUCAAGUACCAACAAAAGAGGAAGAACCGUAUAGGGGAAGGUUAACAACCUUUCUCAACCAAGUCAUGUGCUAGAAGUCAUGUGUCAAAAGUUUAAUGACGCAUAACUUGUUGCCUUUAGGGCAUCAUGCUUUGGACACUUAGAGUGUGUCGAUAGAUUGGCCUUUAGUGGCUAAUUGGUGCAUGAAUUGUUGCUUCGUAGAGUGGCUAAUCAAGGGGUGAAAGACCUAGAGGGACUCACGUAUUUGAUAGGCUGCGAAAUGACCUGGUUUACGAAGAAGGAUUUUCACCUCAUUAUGAGUUUCGUUGUAAUGAAUCCUAUGAUCUAGAGGUUGAGCCUUUCGACAUUAGGCUUUUGAUUUAGCAUGUUCCUGAGAGAUUUGGUUUCGUUGGAGAGAGUAGCAAGGGUAAGUGUAGGAAGGGAAAAAGUAAAGCGAAGACCGUCUUCAAGAAAAUGAGCAAAAAGAUUUCGGUGACUUGUGUCGAGCUUGAAAGGGCAUUUAAAGAAUGCGGAAAUGAGGAUGAUGCAUUGCAAAUGGGGUUGGUAUACUUUGCCGAGACUGUCUUGAAAAGGGCAAAGAGUAAUGUGGUUGUGAACCUAGGCUACUUCCAUCUUGUAGAGAUCAUAGAUAGGUUCAACAGUUAUUCAUGGGGUGCAAUAUCCUUUGAACAACUACAAGAUAAUUGCUGCUUCUAUGAGAAGGAAAGGAAGAGUGGAUGGUAAAUGUGGAGGGAGAUGAGGAAGAUGAAGAAGAAGGCAGGGGAAGUAAGAGGAUGCAGAGAUCAGUGGGCACAGAGACUCUAGUCCCCCUCCAAUAUCUUCAUCGUUGUUUAAAUUGUAUUUCUUUCUGAGUUUUUUUGUGUGGGUCCUUUUCUUCUCUUUACAUUUAGCAUUUUCUUUCGGGACGAGUACGGUCUAGUUUGUAUACUAAUUUUAUUCGUUUCGGCCUAAUGGCUUUUUGAUAUAAUUCAUUCAUGCUCAGUGUCUAGAACAUUUCUAUAUUCAAUCAUUUAAAUUUUCCUUUUUAAUAUUGGGCAUCAACAGUUGGAAAAAAAAGUCAAAAUCUAAUCAUACACUUUUAAUUUGUACUUUAUUGCUGCAAACUUUCACGGUUUAUUGUUGACAAAUUGGUUCAGCUGUCAUUGUUUAUUGUAAUAUUAUGGUUUUAUUGCAGUCCUUCUCCAUUUUCUAAUUUUCAACAGCUUCUUGUGUCAAAUCUAUUGAAUGCAUUUUCCUCAUGCUAAGGAUGCUUUUUCUUAUGUUGUCAUGUAUAAUAAUUACCACUUGUAUAACUUUUGCAGGAUAUCGCUUAGUCGAUGUUGAGGAAUGAGAGUAGGAUAGGAUAAUUGUAUUGUAUAAUAGAAUACUUUUGUAUAACCAUUGUACUUAUACAUUUUUUUCAUUACCUAUCAAUGAAGCAUUAUUUUUGAAACAAUUUUGUAUUUUUCAAUUUAUUAUUAUUUUCUAUAAAUUAAAAGUCUUAGCCGACGAAGUUAAUAUUGUCGGUAGAGGACAACCGUCUCGAUGAAAUAUCUUUGCCGGCAACAUCUCUUGUUGGCAAAAAGAUGCAUUUUGUAGGCUUGAAACACCCUCUACUGACAAAUACCUUUGCCGACAAAGUAUUUUGUUGAAAGUUAUCAUGAUGACGGUACAGUUUGAUGGCUGAGAUUUGUCGCCUUAAAAUUGAGUUGACGAAAUAUAAAAAAAUCAUCUAGAAAGGUCAAAUGGUUGAUGAAUUUUUUCGUCAGGAAAUACUCUUUACUGACAAACUAAUUUUGUCGGUAAAGUCAAAAUUUCUAUACUUCAUUCCCUUUCGAGCUCUUCUAGUUUUAUAUGUGAGGAAUGAUGUUCAUUGACUGGAGUUCUUCGACUCGUAGUUCUCCAUAUUAUGGAUUUUUCUUUAAGCUUUAUUUAUUUUUUUGUUUUGAAAUAGACGGACAAAUACGAAUUAGGCAAGGUUGAUGUGGUGUGUAUGUAGAGAAUGUACGGUGUAUGUAAAGAGUGAUGGGUGUAAGGACAAUAUAAGAAAGGGUGUGGGAUGUAUUUAGAUAAGUUGUAAUUAAAAAGUAGAUGUAAAGUAUAUUCAUAAAUAUGUGGAUGUAUUCAAUAAUACGUGGAUGUUUCAAUAAUACGUGGAGUGUAG